CGGACGGGUGAGUACGCGUGGAUAACCUGCCGUAUACUGGGGGAUAACACUUAGAAAUAGGUGCUAAUACCGCAUAAGCGCACAGUCUCGCAUGAGACGGUGUGAAAAACUCCGGUGGUAUACGAUGGAUCCGCGUCUGAUUAGCUUGUUGGCGGGGUAACAGCCCACCAAGGCGACGAUCAGUAGCCGGCCUGAGAGGGUGAACGGCCACAUUGGGACUGAGACACGGCCCAAACUCCUACGGAAGGCAGCAG
rnacentral:rRNA from 1 species